GUCGGCCUUCGAACCCAUGACCUCUGGCUCCCAAGCCCGGGCUCUUUCCACUGAGCCACGCUGCUUCCCUCCAGAUGGGAGGAAGUAGAGUCCAGACCACAGCAUGUCCACAAAAAGUUGAUCUCAUUGCAUCAUGUUAAAUGUAAGCUCUCCCUUUAGACCGUAAGCACCCUGCAGGCAGGGAUCGCUAUCUACCAACUCUCUACUGCUGUACUCGCCCCAGCGCUUAAUACGGUGCUGGGCCCACAGUAAGCACUCAAAAAAUACAGUUGAUGGAUCGAUCGUUUGCUCUGCCGGUGCUCUUUUCUUCCUCCUUGUCUCCCGUUCCUUUUUGGAUGGCAGUGAGUCACGCGAGUCUAUCCUGAACAACCGACUUGCGGUUUUCAGCGGAAAUGCGGCCUCGUCUAAAGCACAACAGAAGGCCCGUCGUUCUGCCGGCAAAAGCCACCUAGGAGACGCUGACAGAAAUCCAUUUCCACGACACACGAGGAAACAAAAAUCGGUUUUAUUGCUUACAACACACCCGCAGCGACAAAUACAAUGGAAGAAUUAACAAGACACGCAUCCAAGCUGCUCUCUUUGGUCACCUGACUAUUCCCUCUACAAGAGUGUGUUGCGCUCCUAUUCCUCAACUCCGCUCCAACUUCUCCAGUUAUCCUCCCCUGAUUUCCACAGCACUUUUAAUCUCUUAAGCAACUCAGAACAUGUAGUUACAAGGCCCCAAACCCCCCC